rnacentral:rRNA from 1 species
AUCAGUAUUAUCACCUUUUAGACUGUUCUUGUGAAAACUCGGAAGAUAAGGAAGGUUGGACCUAGUCAGUACCGGGAUGGAUGGCCUCUAAGGAAAACUAGGCUGUUGCUGUUU